GAUGAACGCUGGCGGCGUGCCUAAUACAUGCAAGUCGAGCGAACAGAUAAGGAGCUUGCUCCUUUGACGUUAGCGGCGGACGGGUGAGUAACACGUGGGUAACCUACCUAUAAGGCUGGGAUAACUUCGGGAAACCGGAGCUAAUACCGGAUAAUAUUUCGAACCGCAUGGUUCGAUAGUGAAAGAUGGUUUUGCUAUCACUUAUAGAUGGACCCGCGCCGUAUUAGCUAGUUGGUAAGGUAACGGCUUACCAAGGCGACGAUACGUAGCCGACCUGAGAGGGUGAUCGGCCACACUGGAACUGAGACACGGUCCAGACUCCUACGGGAGGCAGCAGUAGGGAAUCUUCCGCAAUGGGCGAAAGCCUGACGGAGCAACGCCGCGUGAGUGAUGAAGGUCUUCGGAUCGUAAAACUCUGUUAUUAGGGAAGAACAUACGUGUAAGUAACUGUGCACGUCUUGACGGUACCUAAUCAGAAAGCCACGGCUAACUACGUG
rnacentral:rRNA from 1 species